rnacentral:rRNA from 1 species
AGCGAACGCUGGCGGCAGGCUUAACACAUGCAAGUCGAGCGGGCAUCCUUGUGGUGUCAGCGGCAGACGGGUGAGUAAUGCGUGGGAACGUGCCCUUCGGUUCGGAAUAACUCAGGGAAACUUGAGCUAAUACCGGAUACGUGCGAGAGCAGAAAGGUUUAUCUGCCGAAGGAUCGGCCCGCGUCUGAUUAGCUAGUUGGUGAGGUUAUGGCUCACCAAGGCGACGAUCAGUAGCUGGUCUGAGAGGAUGAUCAGCCACACUGGGACUGAGACACGGCCCAGACUCCUACGGGAGGCAGCAGUGGGGAAUAUUGGACAAUGGGGGCAACCCUGAUCCAGCCAUGCCGCGUGAGUGAUGACGGCCUUAGGGUUGUAAAGCUCUUUUCUCCGGGACGAUAAUGACGGUACCGGAGGAAUAAGCCCCGGCUAACUUCGUG